rnacentral:antisense_RNA from 1 species
GUGCGAGGCCCCAGACUGAGGGCGAAACAGCAGGCAGGACUGGGUGGAGACGUUCGGGGAUGUGGCAACUGGAGUUUCUUCUCCGUAUAUUUCGGCAUUCAGUUCCUUUUUUUUUUUUUUAACUCAGGAAAAAAUGUCAAUUGCGUUUAGUAUUUUGAAAGCCACUUUAUUGCUUCCUGAGCCUCAGUCAUGUGUGGUGGGAGGCUGCUGUGGGUGGCACCUGGGGCGUCCACGGCCGCCAAGGCGGGGGUACGUCAGGCCCUGCUUGGUCCCACCCCUUCCAGGUGCCUGUUUGAGAGCUCCCGGGCACGCCCGUCCUUGGCUCUUCGUCCUCUUGGUUUUCUUCCCUGUUGCUUCAAAUCAGGUUCCUGUCUCAAAAAUCCGAAAAAGAAAUCCUCCCAAAUGACUCUGUGCCCGACGCUCCGUUAAGGCAUCGUGCUAGGUGUUCUCAAACUCGUGAAACGACUACACUGCACAGGUUAACCUCAUUGCUUCUCUUCCCCUUGCCUCCUAAUUCUCUGGUUAAACUUCCGCCCCCGAGGUUUCUAGAAAUCCUUGAGCUAGAAUGCGCUGCCUUCAUUAAGAGGGUGUUCUGCUUCCGUCUGCUCACAUUCAUCUAGUAAGCCCUCUCGUUAAAGAGGAGGCAGCGCACCGAGGCCUGUCUAGAUCUUUCAUUCAACCAAUAGUGAAUGUCUAAUCUACAAGAAACUGGAGCCGUGGCAGUUUAGGAGCCUGCCAAGGUUGCAUCCCUGGGAGCUUAUUUUCUUUUGUGGGAGACAGGAAAAGAACAAGUGAAUCAACUGUGAAAUUAAAUAAUUCAAACUUAAAGCUGUUAGAACUUUAAAUUAUUCUGAGCCUUGCGAAGAAUGUGGCUAUGGGGCCUGAGUCCCAUGGCAUACAGCUGCAAUGUCUGCCUUGUUUUUUCCUAUCAUCAGGAAGACCAAACAGAGACAGAGAUAAACACUCAGCAGGCCAGUGCCCCCUCCAUACAUGUGGUAGAAAAAGGUCAAGCAGUGUUUUCCAGAGACUCCUCGCAGAGGCCUGGACAAGAGGCGUGCUUUUUGUCCAUACACCAUAUGGGAGGCCUCAAUGUACAUGUAGUAGCCUUGAGGUGAAUGCAAAAGCAGGUGCACACACCAAGAAAGGCCAUGUGGGCACACAGCAAGAUGGUGCGUGUCUGCAAACUAGGAAAAGAGCCCUCACCAGGAACUGAAACAGCUGGCACCUUGAAGUUGGACUUUCCAGCCUCCACAAUUGUGAGAGUUUUGGAGGCUGGUAAGUCCGAGAUCAAGGUGCCAACAAGUUUGCUUGUCUAACAAGGGCUGCAUCUUCCAGAGGGGAGGAACGCUAUGUCUUCACAUGGUGGAUGGCAUAAAGGCAAGAGAGUCGAAUGCUGCAUGAAACCUCUUUUACAAAUACCUCAAUCCCAUUCACAAGGGAGGAGCCCUCAUUGCCUAAUCAUCGCCUGUUGAGGGUCCUGUCUCUUAAUUCUGUUACACUGGCCAUUAAGUUUCAACACCCGAAAUUUGGAGGAGACACAUUCAAAUCAUAGCAGCAGGUCACUGAUUGUUAUCUUUAUUUCACAUAUGAGGAAACUGAGGCUCAGCAAAGUCAUGUAAUUAUUCCCCAGGUUAUGCAGGCAGCAAAUGGCAGAGGCAGCUCAUUGUUUGGUCUUUCCACACCAUUCUGUACUCUAGAAUUUGGAAAGGUUUAUUGCAUCACCAGUUAGUAAGUCAGGAGCUAUAGCUCCCUUGGAAUUGCUACAUAUGAUGAUGUAUUGAUUCUGAUAGACACAAAACAAACUGACAUAUUUAUAGUGUGA